UGAGGAAUAUUGGUCAAUGGGCGAGAGCCUGAACCAGCCAAGUAGCGUGCAGGAUGACGGCCCUAUGGGUUGUAAACUGCUUUUAUACAGGAAUAAAGUUAGCCACGUGUGGCUAUUUGUAGGUACUGUAUGAAUAAGGACCGGCUAAUUCCGUGCCAGCAGCCGCGGUAAUACGGAAGGUCCAGGCGUUAUCCGGAUUUAUUGGGUUUAAAGGGAGCGUAGGCCGUCUGUUAAGCGUGUUGUGAAAUGUAGAUGCUCAACAUCUGAAUUGCAGCGCGAACUGGCAGACUUGAGUGUGCGCAACGUAGGCGGAAUUCGUGGUGUAGCGGUGAAAUGCUUAGAUAUCACGAAGAACUCCAAUUGCGAAGGCAGCUUACGGGAGCACAACUGACGCUGAAGCUCGAAAGUGCGGGUAUCGAACAGG
rnacentral:rRNA from 2 species